CCAUAGCCCUGAUUGAAACGAAAAUCCUUUUCUUUUUUUUCUUUAGAAAAAGAAAAGAUUGAAGUAAAAAGCAGGAAAUGGC
rnacentral:sRNA from 1 species